UACGUAGGUGGCAAGCGUUACUCGGAAUCACUAGGCGUAAAGCGCAGGUAGGCGGUUGGAUAAGUUUCUUGUGAAAGCUCCUGGCUUAACUGGGAGAGGUCAAGGAAUACUGUCUGACUUGAGUGUGGUAGGGGUAACUGGAAUUCCCGGUGUAGCGGUGAAAUGCGCAGAUAUCAGGAGGAACACCGAUGGCGAAGGCAGGUCUCUGGGCAUUAACUGACGCUGAGGAGCGAAAGCAUGGGGAGCGAACAGG
rnacentral:rRNA from 1 species